AUUGAACGCUGGCGGCAGGCCUAACACAUGCAAGUCGAGCGAGCGGCGGACGGGUGAGUAAUGUAUGGGGACUGCCCGCUAGAGGGGGAUAACUACUGGAAACGGUAGCUAAUACCGCAUACUAUCGGAUAACCCAUAUGGGAUUAGCUAGUAGGUGAGGUAAUGGCUCACCUAGGCGACGAUCCCUAGCUGGUCUGCGAGGAUGAUCCGCAACACUGGGACUGGGAAACGGCCCAGACUCCUACGGAGGCAGCAGUGGGAAAGAUUGCAAAAUGGGCGCAAGCCUGAUGCAGCAAGGCGGCGGGGAUGAAGAAGGCUCUAGGGUUGUAAAGUACUUUAAGUCGGGAGGCGUUACCGACAGAAGAAGCACCGGCUAACUCCGUGCCAGCAGCCGCGGUAAUUC
rnacentral:rRNA from 1 species